rnacentral:rRNA from 1 species
CCUACGGGUGGCAGCAGUGAGGAAUAUUGGUCAAUGGGCGCGAGCCUGAACCAGCCAAGUCGCGUGAGGGAAGACGGUCCUAUGAAUUGUAAACCUCUUUUGUCGGGGAGCAAAAGACGCCACGCGUGGCGUUCCGAGAGUACCCGAAGAAAAAGCAUCGGCUAACUCCGUGCCAGCAGCCGCGGUAAUACGGAGGAUGCGAGCGUUAUCCGGAUGUAUUGGGUUUAAAGGGUGCGCAGGCGGAAGAUCAAGUCAGCGGUAAAAUUGAGAGGCUCAACCUCUUCGAGCCGUUGAAACUGGUUUUCUUGAGUGAGUGAGAAGUAUGCGGAAUGCGUGGUGUAGCGGUGAAAUGCAUAGAUAUCACGCAGAACUCCGAUUGCGAAGGCAGCAUACCGGCGCUCAACUGACGCUCAUGCACGAAAGUGUGGGUAUCGAACAGGAGUAGAUACCCCAGUAGUC